UACGGAGGAUCCAAGCGUUAUCCGGAUUUAUUGGGUUUAAAGGGUGCGUAGGCGGCCUAGUAAGUCAGAGGUGAAAGACGGUAGCUUAACUAUCGCAGUGCCUUUGAAACUGCUGGGCUUGAAUGUACUUGAGGUGGGCGGAAUGUGACAAGUAGCGGUGAAAUGCAUAGAUAUGUCACAGAACCCCGAUUGCGAAGGCAGCUCACUAUAGUAUGAUUGCCGCUGAUGCACGUAAGCGUGGGGAUCAAACAGG
rnacentral:rRNA from 1 species